GCGGCAAGAACACCUCAUCAGGAAUAUCAAGAGGAAUGCUGACAUGCUUAAAGCUGAGCCAGCUGGCAACUUUGUGAUGUGAAGAGCACGUGAAGACAUUUUUGUGAUUGUUGAAGUUCACAUCAGUUUUCUGUGAUGGCAAUUUGCGCCUCCACCACCUGAUCAAGGCACAUUCAUGGAUUGAAGACCAGAA